CUUCAGAUUACGUGUAUAUAUUCCUUUAUCUCUAUCUCUCUCGCAUUGGACUACAAUAAACGAGGUCAACUUUUUUUUCACUUUGAGUUUAUAACGACCGAUUACCACCGCCUGGUCGAUGCUUUCUUCCAUUUGAACUUAAUCGUUCCAAAGGAAACUCUUCCACAGAGCCUUACAUUUCCCUACACAAUAUAUUGCUUGCACACGCUUCUGCGACAAACUUAUACAAGAAACAAUCCCAGCACAAGCAACAGGGAUCGGUAGGCAUUGGCAUAUACAUAUACAGUGCUUUGACUGAUGUCCCCCUAGCCAACUCCAGAAGAUAAGCAGGCAAUAACUAGAUUCAACGACUUCUUUAUUGGAUGAAACAAAUGUUGAAGCGUCUACUAUAUUUUAUCACUCAGUUUCUUUGUUAGGUUUUUUUGUAAGGGUCUUACAGGUUUGGCGAGAAUCUUGAGAUGAUGAAGACCAUAGUUGGGUCUAGGUUACCCGCUUUUACCGAGGAUGAGCUUAUCUUAAACAAAUAAGUCUUCUCUCUUAAACAAAAUCUCCAUGAUUUCAACGUAGACAUGGCUGUGGAACUGACCCUGUUUGGAAACACAUCUUCAAGAAUGAGUAUGCAAAUACACCAUAGAGUCAGUAGUGUUGUAUACCAAAGAACACUACGGCAUAUUAUGUAUCUAAGGACACAGCCAGAAGUAAGUUAUCUGAGAUCAAUCCACAGAGAUCAGGCUUCUGCAAAAAUGCCUUUUAGUGCAGGUUAUUUCGACAUUUUUUUAUUUGCAGUGUCAUCUUUAUUUCGAUUGAAGUUUUUUUUUUAUCUUUUUGCCACUCUUCAGACUGU